AUGCGUUGUUGGGUAGGGGAGCGUUCUGUAAGCCUGUGAAGGUGGCCUGUGAGGGUUGCUGGAGGUAUCAGAAGUGCGAAUGCUGACAUAAGUAACGAUAAAGCGGGUGAAAAGCCCGCUCGCCGGAAGACCAAGGGUUCCUGUCCAACGUUAAUCGGGGCAGGGUGAGUCGACCCCUAAGGCGAGGCCGAAAGGCGUAGUCGAUGGGAAACGGGUUAAUAUUCCCGUACUUGGUGUUACUGCGAAGGGGGGACGGAGAAGGCUAUGUUGGCCGGGCGACGGUUGUCCCGGUUUAAGCGUGUAGGCUGGUUUUCCAGGCAAAUCCGGAAAAUCAAGGCUGAGGCGUGACGACGAGGCACUACGGUGCUGAAGCAACAAAUGCCCUGCUUCCAGGAAAAGCCUCUAAGCAUCAGGUAACAUCAAAUCGUACCCCAAACCGACACAGGUGGUCAGGUAGAGAAUACCAAGGCGCUUGAGAGAACUCGGGUGAAGGAACUAGGCAAAAUGGUGCCGUAACUUCGGGAGAAGGCACGCUGACACGUAGGUGAAGUGAUUUACUCAUGGAGCUGAAGUCAGUCGAAGAUACCAGCUGGCUGCAACUGUUUAUUAAAAACACAGCACUGUGCAAACACGAAAGUGGACGUAUACGGUGUGACGCCUGCCCGGUGCCGGAAGGUUAAUUGAUGGGGUCAGCGCAAGCGAAGCUCCUGAUCGAAGCCCCGGUAAACGGCGGCCGUAACUAUAACGGUCCUAAGGUAGCGAAAUUCCUUGUCGGGUAAGUUCCGACCUGCACGAAUGGCGUAAUGAUGGCCAGGCUGUCUCCACCCGAGACUCAGUGAAAUUGAACUCGCUGUGAAGAUGCAGUGUACCCGCGGCAAGACGGAAAGACCCCGUGAACCUUUACUAUAGCUUGACACUGAACAUUGAGCCUUGAUGUGUAGGAUAGGUGGGAGGCUUUGAAGUGUGGACGCCAGUCUGCAUGGAGCCGACCUUGAAAUACCACCCUUUAAUGUUUGAUGUUCUAAC
rnacentral:rRNA from 1 species